GAACUUCCGGGCGAGCACGGCGGCGGGGCAGAGUGGGGCGUGCGGUGCCCCCUGCUGGCUGGAGGGUAGCAGUAACGAACACCGCUACAGGUUCCUGGGAAAAAAUGAACCUCUUGCAGACCUAGGUGGAGACCUGACCUGAAGGAAAUGUACUGUGCACUCAGAAUGCAAAGGGAGAAAAGAGAUGUAAGGGGAACAAUACUGCCACCCCAUGCAAGAAGUCACCAAUCCCUGGUGCCCUUGACCCCCAUCUCUGUGGCUCAGACUACCUCCGUGGCCCUGCUGUGCGCUCUGACUCUUCAUCACUGCAAGACAAACUGCACCAGAGCUCGGACUUCUCCAGGGGAUGUAACACCAAUAGUGCAAUUAGGAAGUGUGGAACUGCUGUCCUCUACUUACCUGAGCCUGGUCAUCACCCCAGGACCAACCUUUCUGACUUUGGUCCUAAGGCCCGCUACCUUGAGACAGGGAUAAAAAUAGAACUACCCCAGGAAGUUUCAAGUUCCAGACCAGGAGGCAUGGAUGCCAGACGUGCCAGCGUGACCUACAAUAGCCUUCCUUCACCUGGAGCUCCUUGAAGGUUCCUGCAUGUGGAUGGCAUCACAGGCACCCGAUUAUAACAGAGUGAAUUCUGGGAAAGGACAUGUGCAGUAGCCUCAGCACUCUGAUGGUCACACUGUGCAUCAUGCCCUGAAAGACCCAGUGGGCACCGCCUUUCACCUGGCACAUUCUAGAUAUUUGUACCCCCCCACCCCGCCUUCAGUGCUUCCUGCUGGAGUGUCCUCAGAGCGUACCAUCAUCUUAUUAAACUCUGCUGCUGUUCCCUUCCUUACCUUUGCGGGCCACUUCUAAUUUUUCACCCCAAACACUUGAGCCUCAAACCCGUGAGCUAGAAACCCAUUUGCGAUGCAUCGCCUGUGGUAACACCAGAACAGUAUGCAGCACCCUCUGUAGGACUGGCCUUGGGGUCAGGUGAUGCACAGGAGCAGGAGUUAAUGCACACGGAGAGCACACACCUGACUGACCCACGUGGAAUCAGUGUUCAAGCGCUCCUCAGAAGUGUGCUUUACAUGGAUGUCAGGUGGGAUUUAUAAGAAUGAAGAUUUCUGCAGGUGGUGUUAUUGAUGGCUGAUGGAGGAUUCACCAGACACUGGGAAUUGGAAGUACUUCUGAAAAUCCCUCUCUUCCCUUGAAAGCACUAUAAAUUUACAGGUAAUCUUGAAUUCACAAGCAAGCCUUUUAUGCAGUAAGUUGAUAGCAAAUACAUAAUUGAAGAGACAUAUAAUUACCUUAAAAAUCUACCACAGUAAGAAAUGUGUUACAGUGGCUACAUUAUCAUUUAAUUUUAUGAUAGUAAAAAUAUCGUAACUUUUUCUUCUUUAUUUUCUUCCUUUGAAUUUUAUCUUGUAUCCUCAUGUACAAAAGAAAAAACCAGACUAUUUGUAAAUAAGUAUCUCAGACUGUGCAGGAAGCCCCAAAGUUUUCUAGUUACAUAAAAAUCAGAUUUUGAUGAGCAAGAGAAAGGGGAGUUUUAGCGUUCCUUUCUGAACACAUGGAAGCAGCAACCACGGAACUGUCUACCUUUGAGGAGAAUAGGCCUGACCUUUGUGGACUCCUCUUGACCAGACCUGGAUAGGAGAGGAUGAGCCGGAUCUGAGCUGCAUAGACAGGAGCCUUUCAGCUGUAGGUUAGUUUUCAGCUUGCCCAGUUCAAGGGUACUUUAUGUCUGUCUCUGACUCUUUUCAGUAUUUACAUCUACCAAGCAACUACAAAACCAUGUAUCUAUGUCUGCACCAUAGCUAUAUUCAUAGAAAGAAUGAUAUUGCAGUAUCUCUAACAUCAUAGCCAUUUUUUACCCCUAAUCCUUUUUAUUUUUAAUGAACUAAUUAUAAGUAAAACAAAAAAUAAACAAGUUUUUUUUUUUGAUAAAUGGAAAGGGAGGGGGCCAAGAGAUGGAGGGAAGUGAGGGGAGGUGGUUAAAAGUUAAGAUGCAUUUGUACAUGUGCUAGCUCCACAUGAAGAAUGUGAUCAUUAUGUACUACAACAAGUUGUAAUUAAAAAAACUGGAAAAAGAUUUUUAAAAAUGGAUUUUGUGGUAUUAAGGAUCAACUCCAGGGCCUUUGUAUUGAAUUAUAUUUCCAGCCCUCUUUUGGUUUUUUAUUUUGGGAUAAGGAAUUGCUAAGUUACUUGCCUGGGUUUGAACUUGUGAUUAUACUGUGUUAGGCUCUAAAGUUGCUGGCAUGUUCAGGCCAGCAUCAUAGCCAUUUUGUAACUAUUUUGUCUCUGUAUAUCUACAUAACCUUAUGUUUAUGUCAGUAUCUGUAACUACAUCCAUGUCUGUAACUCUCUUAUACACAUAGCAUUUAAUGCUGAGAAUCUUUCUGGUGCUGCUUUGCACUCUGUCUCUCUCCUGUUGAAUCCAAAAGGAGCGGAAAAAGAGCGCUCUUCACUUGAAGCUGAUGUCUGCAACUUGCAGUCAGCUGUGCUAUUUAUUACCUGUGAAAUCCUGGAUAUGCUAUUGGAUCUUAUUGUUUCUUCAUCUGUAAUUGUGAAUUUACACAACAGAUCACACGUGCAGUGUGGUUCCUUAUCAUCUGUUCACAUUAGGAGCACCUGAGGAUACAGGAGGAGGAAGGAGUCUGGCCACCUGCUCUCCAGCUCUCAGAAGGCUGUGCAUGGAUGACUGCUAAGUGUGCAUGGUCUCAGAGCCUCUAUUUUCUCAACUGUAAGGGUGUCAGUCCACUCUACUGGAAGACAUAGCCUUAGCCAGCCACCAGGAGGCUGAGGUAGAAGGAUCGCAAGCAUGAGACUAUUCUGACAACUUAGAUCCUGUUUCAGAAUAAAAAAUAAAAAGGGUUGGGGAUGUAGCUCAGUGGUCAGGUGCUUGCUUGGCAUGUGCAGAACCCUGGGUUCAAUCCCCAGUACUGAAAAGGAAGGACGGAAGAAGGAAGGGAGACAGAGCUCUAAGAUCUGUAUCAAAUCCAAAUCCACAGUUAAAGAGAAUUUUAAGUAGGACUUAAAAGAUCACCUUUGGUCUUAAAUAUUUUGAUACUCUAAUAUAUGACCGGCAGCUUCUCUGAGCUUCAGUGUUGCUGUAGCGCCCCCUGGCUGUACUUGGGCUCACAGACAUCAUCUUUCUGUCUCAUUCUGUGACAGCGCUGGUGUAGCCCUGGUUAAAUAAAUAAUGCCUUCUGCACAAGCUAUAUUUCCCAGCAGGCACUAUCUGGGUGGCUUCUGCACUGGUGUUUCAAGUGUGCAGGGUAGAGUGCCCUUUGCUUGAUCAGAAAACUUCUUGCAGAAGUGACAAGCAUCUGUUGGAAGAGUCAUUUCCCAGCACCAUCUACGCGAAGUUACAGUUGUGACCUCUGCCCUUCCAGAAUGACAACUGAGAAAGACAACAGAACUCCCAGUGUGUAAUGUCACAGGAAGAAAUCAGAUACAACACUGGGUUCUAUAUUUGUGUGUGUUUGUCUUGCUGCCUUGAACAGUCACAGAAAACUUCCUGAAGGUCACUCUUCAGCAGUGAACCAACCCUACCUGAGCUAGUGCUUUUCUGACCCUCCCAGGUUGCACGACUUCAUCAUGUCCCAUGUCAGAUGUUCAGAUCCACUCCCUGAGCGUCCUUUAGGUCCUGGAGGUUUGUUAACAUGUUUAUAGUGAGCACAGGGCAGUGUGCUGGGCAUGCCUGCAGCAUCUCCUGCUUUUGAAGUCUGUUGCAGUAAUGACUCCGCAGACUUCCUGAGUGGAAUGGUCUUAGCAUGCUCACUGGUAAUGGGUUUAAAAUGCUGUAAAGGGACAGGAUGGUUAGGAGCACCACAGUGCUGGUGCAAUCUUUGGUGUUUCCUCCCCUUCCCCUGGAAGUAUAAUUAAAAAGCUGGUGUAAAAAGUUUGAGUCCAGCCCCCAUUUUAGAGCCCUCAUUCUCUCCUAGGAUGGUUUAUGGACAGCUCCUCACUGGAACAGUUUUCUGGUCAGUUUCUGAACUUGGCUUUGGGCCUCUCACUUCAAGGGGACUGAGUAGUGCUGGGACUUCUCCAUCCCUUCAGGUUAACAACAUGACAGGAAGGGUUCAUUGCACCCCUUUGGUGCUCACAAGGAAAGCCAGGUCUGCAACUCCUGCAAGACAUAUCUUCUGUGCUGUCUGACACAUUCCUCCUGCUGCCUCCUUGAUACUGUGCCUGCUGGGGCCAAUUGGUUCUGCAUCCUUUGUUUUACUUCCUGCCAUUCACAUUCAGCAUACCACCAGCUAGGAAGCUGAUCCUCUGGAAGUCAGAUUUUUUUUAAAGACAGGAUAUCACUAAUAGAAUUUUUGGCGCGGCCAGAAAGGUAAGAAAUAUGAAAUAAAAGUGGCCUUUAUUUUAAGAAUGCGGAAAGAGACUCCAUGACCUCAGGGGUCUGGCUUUCUCUCUGCUGGACAUGUGUGGGGGCAUACAUGUAGCUUGGGUUUGGGGUGGAGCCUAAGGGGCAUUACUGAUGCACAGGUAGCCCAUUGGAAUUCAUUUCAUGCCACAGGUAAAUUACUUAGGGAUGGGAAAGAUGACCUUUUGCCUCUCAGUGCCACCUACCACUACAGCUUCUCAUUUAGGGCAAAAUCCUUUCAAUCACUACAUAGCCCAGGCUGGCCUUGAACUCGUGGCAACCUUUACCUUUCUGCCUCGGUCUCUCAAGUGCUGGGAUUACAGUAUUCACCACAAUGCCUGACUAGAGGUGGGUUUUACUUUAAAAAAUUAUUAUUUUAAAAAAGACUAAAAUAAAACAGAAUAAAGCCAACCAAAAUGAAACAGCAUAAAUGACAGAGAACCUCAAAACAGGAAACCAACAAUUGUUGCUAUGAUGCCACUUGCCAUCUUCCAAAUUGCUGCCCAUACCAUUAGACACAAUAAAACCAAACAAAUCAGAACACUGAAUAAAACAAAACAGUAAAACAGAAAAAGACAGUGAGAAUAUUUGAUUUCAAAAACAAGACAGAAGGAAAUCCCCCACAGUUGCUGUAUUGCACAUUGUUAUUUUUUUUUUUUUCAUAUUGUUAUUUUCUUAGACUACUGGCUUUAGGCCUGCAAAGUCAAUCAAACAAUAUAAGCAUCAAGUUGUUUUUGUGCUUCUCUUGCUAACAACUCAGUCUGUGAUCCUCCAAAUCAGAUUGUUGCUGGGGGGAGGGUGCUUGUCUCCCAGCCUGCAUCCCUGCUGGCUCAUGGGAAGGACAAACUGGCUUCUUGUUUCUUUUCCUGGCCCUACCUGACUGCUGCUGGCUCACAGGAAGGGUGCAGAAGGUAGAUUCUGAAUCACAGAAUCACACUCUGGGAGGAGUUUUUGAGUUAUGCUGGUGUGUGUGUGAAUGAUGUCUGAAUACAUGCCUCACCUUGACGCUGGUGUGAUCUUGCUCUUUGCCAUAGUUACUUUUUUCUCAUUACUGAGACAAAAUACCCAACACCCAAAGUUAAAGUGGGAAAGGUUUAUUUAGCUUACAGAAGACAGCAGAAGCAACAAGAGCAAAAGGGGAGGAGCAAAUCUCUUUUACUCCCUUAUAUUGCAAGCAGACUACCCACCUUAGGAUAGAUGUAGUACUCACAUCCCCCAAUCCUAGUAUUAGGCAAUGAAUCAAUUGCAAACUCGGAGAUUUAGUGUUUCCAAAAAGCCCACACCUCGUGACAUGAGGCUUUGAGAGGACAUCCAGACAUAAACCAUAACACUCUCCUAGACACCUGGAUGCACUGCUGUGUGUUCUGCAGCCACAGCUUCUUGCCAUCAGUAAACUGAGCCAACCAUAGCCAUACCAUGGUGAUAGACCUGGGUUCUAAUCACACACCCGUUUUUUUUUUUUUUUUCUUUUUUUCUACAAAAA